rnacentral:rRNA from 1 species
UACGGGGGGGGCAAGCGUUGUUCGGAAUUACUGGGCGUAAAGGGCUCGUAGGCGGCCAACUAAGUCGGACGUGAAAUCCCCAGGCUCAACUUGGGAACUGCGUCCGAUACUGGAUGGCUUGAAUUCGGGAGAGGGAUGCAGAAUUCCAGGUGUAGCGGUGAAAUGCGUAGAUAUCUGGAGGAAUACCGGUGGCGAAGGCAGGUCUCUGGGCCACAACUGACGCUGAGGAGCGAAAGCGUGGGGAGCGAACAGG